rnacentral:rRNA from 1 species
CGCUGGCGGUGCGCCUUAUGCAUGCAAGUCGAGCGAAGCUUUUCAGUAGUUUACUACAGAAAAUGACUGAGCGGCGAACGGGUGAGUAACGCGUGAGCAAUCUACCUUAGUUACUGGGAUAGCCCGAGGAAACUCGGAUUAAUACCGGAUAAUCUUAUUACAUCACAUGAUAUUUUAAGUAAAGGUCAGCCGAACUAAGAUGAGCUCGCGUUCUAUCAGCUUGUUGGUGGGGUAAAAGCCUACCAAGGCUACGACGGAUAGCUGGUCUGAGAGGACGAUCAGCCACACUGGGACUGAGACACGGCCCAGACUCCUACGGGAGGCUGCAGCAGGGAAUAUUGCGCAAUGAGCGAAAGCUUGACGCAGCGACACCGCGUGUGGGAUGACGGUUCUAGGAUUGUAAACCACUUUCAGGAGGGAAGAAAAUGACGGUACCUCCACAAGAAGCCCCGGCCAACUACGUGCCAGCAGCCGCGGUAAUACGUAGGGGGCGAGCGUUGUCCGGAUUUAUUGGGCGUAAAGAGCUCGUAGGCGGUUCAACAAGUCGGUCGUGAAAGUUCAGGGCUUAACCCUGAAAUGUCGAUCGAUACUGUUGUGACUAGGAUAUGGUAGAGGUGAGUGGAAUUCCGAGUGUAGCGGUGAAAUGCGUAGAUAUUCGGAGGAACACCAAUAGCGAAGGCAGCUCACUGGACCACUAUCGACGCUGAGGAGCGAAAGCUAGGGGAGCAAACAGGAUUAGAUACCCUGGUAGUCCUAGCUGUAAACGAUGGAUACUAGAUGUAGGAAUUGGAUUGACGAUUUCUGUAUCGUAGCUAACGCGUUAAGUAUCCCGCCUGGGGAGUACGGU